UCCAGGGUGUGGGAAACGGGGAGGGGUUUGAGGAGGGGAUCGGAAUGUGGCUCAAGUUCGGGAGGCGUUACCUGCGGAGGGUUUGAGGCAGGCCCAAGAGCGAGCCCAUGGUCUUCCGACGCGGGGCCAGGGGCGGGCCCCAGGAUCCGGAGCUUCGUGCGGGGCCGAGUCCAGGUUUGGGGCCCGGGAGGCGGGGCCAGUUAGGGCGACUGUCCCUGGGAUCGUCGGGUCAGGCCUUGGGCUAACGUAGGCACUCUCGCAGUUCCUCCGCCUUCAGGAAGGUCUUUUCAGCAGGGGCCUUACGGGUGCAUGCUUCGGUCCUGGAGGCCUUAUCCUAGCCUCCUCUCCAUCAGCGCCACCCGUCUGGGGCCCGAAAGGAGGGAGCUUUCCCUCUGUCCCCCAGCCUUUGGACUGUCACCAAACAAGCCAUUCGUUCAUCAAAUACUUUUUAAGCGCCUACCAUGUGCCUGACAAGGGAGAUGUAACGGUGAGAAAAACUAGGUGUGGUCCAGGCCCUUCAGGGGCUCAGGUGCUCGUGGAAGAAGUGGACAUUGAAGUACUUAUCACACAAAUGAGGAUAAAAGUACGAUAGCGAUAUCUACCACGAAGCUGUUGUUCCCCACCAGAACCAAAUGAGCGCAAGAUCUGACAAAGAAAAAAAAAGGUUCAUCUUUUAUUCCUCCAAACACUUUCAUUUAAAUCAAGAGGAUGGGAUGUGGUUAUUGCUGUGUUUUUAGACAGAAUCAACGGUUUCUGGGUCUGAGAUGUUGCAUACACCUUCUCAGUCCCUGUAUCCUGAGAUGGAGUCACCUGAGAAUCCACAGCAAGUCCUAACCAGGGAUGGGUCUGGGUGAUUAAGGAAGGUUGGCUUCAGAACUGGGCCAGGGGCACUGCUUUGCUUUUGCUGUUUUGAUCAGCUCUCUGCCUGAAGGAGACAAGAAAAACCAACGGGAACAGCCCAGUAAAGGCGCCAUUCCCCAUUUUACAGCUGGGGAAACUGAGUUACAGAGCUUGUCUGCACUGAGUCAUCAGGAGCAAAUGCUAGAUCAGAUAGGGUCUCUCUCUCUGCCACCCAGGCCAGAGUGCAGUUGACGCAGGGCAGGGGAGCCCCGAAGUGGAGCAUAGUGUGUCCGGAACUGGUGGGUUCUUGGUCUCACUGACUUCAAGAAAGAAGCCGCGGACCCUCGCGGUGAGUGUCACAGUUCUUAAAGGCUGCGUGUCCAGAGUUUGUUCCUUCUGAUGCUCGGAUGUGUUCAGAGUUUCUUCCUUCUGGUGGUUUUGUGGUCUCGCUGGCUUCAGGAGUGAAGCUGCAGACCUUCAAGAAAUGAGGCUUCUCCCCAGGACCAGCAUUCCACGAAGGCAGCCCUUUUCUAGAUGGAGAAAACAGAACCUGAAGACACCCGUUUCCCUAAACUGCUCUCGCUCAUGUUUCUACAAGGCCUGGAGCUGAUAGGAAAAACCUCCCUUCUUUCCCAAAUGGUCCCCAGCUGCCCCGUUCACUGAAGGCCCUGCAGUCAGGAACGGUCAGGACUUCACACCCAGUUGUUGUGGGUGUUUGGCCGACACGACACUUCCUCUUGUGUGAUUCAUGGACCCGCAGCAUUGCGUCACCUGGGAGCUUUUGGUAUUGAAGACUCUCAGGGCUCACCCGGAAGGACCUGCUGGGCCAGAAUCUACAUUUUAACAAGAUGCCCAGAAACUCCUGGAGGGCAGAGGCAUGCCUGCCAUCUUCAUCAUUGCAUUACCACCACCCAACACUAUCGGGGGACCUGCCCUGAUAAUCAGUCUACAGGUGUAUCCAGCAGCUCCAGAGAGACAGCGACCAGCGAGAAGGGGCCAUGAUGAUGGAGGUGGUUUUGUCAAAACGAAAAUGGGGAUAUGUAGGGAAAAGAAAGAGAGAUCAGACUGUUACUGUGUCUACAUAGAAAGGGAAGACAUAAGAGACUCCAUUUUGAAAAAGACCUGUACUUUAAACAAUUGCUUUGCUGAGAUGUUGUUAAUCUGUAGCUUUGCCCCAGCCACUUUGCCCCAACCACUUUGACCCAAUCUGGAGCUCAUAAAAACAUGUGUUGUAUGAAAUCAAGGUUUAAGGCAUGUAGGGCUGUGCAGGACGUGCCUUGUUAACCAAAUGUUUGCAAGCAGUAUACUUGGUAAAAGUCAUCACCAUUCUCUCAUCUCAAUAAACCAGGGGCACAAUGCACUGUGGAAAGCCGCAGGGACCUCUGCCCUUGAAAGCUGGGUAUUGUCCAAAGUUCCUCCCCAUGUGAUAGUCUGAAAUAUGGCCUCGUGGGAUGAGAAAGACCUGACGGUCCCCCAGCGCGACACCCAUAAAAGAUCUGUGCUGAGGUGGAUUAGUCAAAGAGGAAAGACUUGCAGUUGAGAUAGAGGAAGGCCACUGUCUCCUGACUGCCCCUGGGAACUGAAUGUCUCGGUAUAAAACACGAUUGUACAUUUGUUCAGUUCUGAGAUGGGAGAAAAACCGCCCUAUGGUGGGAGGCGAGACAUGUUUACAGCAAUGCUGCCUUGUUAUCCUUUACUCCACUGAGAUGUCUGGGUGGAGAGAAACAUAAAUCUGGCUUACAUGCACGUCCAGUCAUAGUACCUUCCCUUGAACUUCAUUAUGACAUGGAUUCUAUUGCUCACGUUUGUUGCUGACCUUCUCCUUAUUAUCACCCUGCCCUCCUACUACAUUCCUUUUUGCUGAAAUAAUGAAGAUAAUAAUCAAUAAAAACUGAGGGAAUUCA
rnacentral:lncRNA from 1 species